UCUUUUCUGUAGGAAUUCUUUGUGUCAAAGAGAAGUGAAUUUCUCAAAUGCAAACAGAUAAAGGAUGCAUUGUGGUCAUCAACUAAUUUCUGAAGGUGCAGUCAAACAGAAAACUAAGAAAUUUCAGAAUAAUACUAAAGAUUUGAGUCCAGAAAUCUGGGAGAAGCCAAGGAUCAGUGAGCUGCUUUGGAAGACAGUUGGCAAAGAGAUUAAAAAGGCUUUUGGCAUGGAGAUUGAAAAGGCUCCAGAGAUCAGCUACUAUGUCAACCCAAAGAGUGGGUACCAGGUCCUUGGUAAAGAUCUCAAGGAAAUACACAAAGCUGCUAUCAUUGGUGACAAAGUGAAAAUGGAGAAAGUUCUUUUGCAGCAGAUACCUACGCUGAAUGAUAGAGACAAGAACAACAGGACUGCUCUUCAUUUUGCUUGUGUCAAUGGCCACCAUGAAGUGGUAAUUCAACUGAUGGAUGCAAAAUGCAAGCUUAAUCUCUGUGACAAUGAAAAUAGAACAGCUCUUAUUAAGGCCAUACAAUGUCAGCAGAUAGAAUGUGCCUUCAUUCUACUAGAACAUCUAGCAGAUCCCAAGGUGACAGAUUGCUAUGGGAACACUGCUCUCCACUAUGCUGCCUGUUGGGAGAAUUUGUCGAUAGCUACAAAGCUGCUUUCACAGGGUGUUGAUAUCGAAGCAAGAAACAAGAAUGGAUUCACACCACUCUUACUUGCUGUGAGUAAAAACAAUCAGCAAAUGCUGGAAUUCUUAACAAGCAAAGGUGCAAAUGUACGUGCAGUGGAUGCAUUGAAAAGAACUGCCCUCAUGCUUGCUCUGCACUGUGUAGCCCCCAAAAUGAUCAUAUUUCUUCUUCAACAAGGAAUUGAUGUCCUUUGUAGAGAUAUCUUUGGAAGAAGUGCUAAGGACCAUGCUAUUAACUAUGGUUUGAAUAUGAAUUGUCAACAAAUUACUGAAUAUUUGUCCGAAAAUGAAAGCGGAAAAUCUCAAGUUAGAAAUCAGGGAGUAAAUGAUAAUUCUAGAGAAAGUUCUCUAUGCAGCAAUCAUCAGAUAACUUCUGAGGAUACAGUAGAACGUGCAAAGCCAAACUUUUGUCCAAAUAUGAUUUAUGGUCUUUAUUAUGGAGCAUAUGAUACUGAAGAAUACUAUUUAAGCAGUAGCAAUCAACAGCUGCUUCCUGAAGACAUAGCAGGACAAAGAACUAAAAGUUCUGAAAAUAAUACUCAAGAUUUUGGUUCUGCUGCUGUGAAUAAUGAGACUUGUUCAAGACCCAGAAAGAUCAUAGUAGGUGACAGAUCACAGUCUGUGCCACAAAAUCUGUCAGCAGGCAGAAGAAUGGUACAUAGUUACUUUUCAGAAGAUCCUGAAAGUUGUCAUAAACUUCUGCCUGAUGUGGAAGAAAUAGAAACUAUUCCUUACAGAGCAGCGUGGAAAUAUCUACAAGCAUGUAAACCAGCUUUUCCUGAAAAAUACCCUGACAUGAAGCCUACCACAGAAGUGAAAGAUUCUGUUCCUAAUAAAGGAGAUGCACAAGCAUAUGUAUCAGGCUCUCCUGAAAAAGACCCCAACUUGAAGUCUCCCAUGGAAGUGGAAGAUUCUGUUGCCAAUAAAGCAGUAGGGAUAAAAGAUGUGCAAGCACCUAGAUCAGGCCUAUAAAGAAGACAUCUAACAAAAAGAACAAGGUUAAAAAGCAAAGUAAUUUUAUGGAUGUCCACGAUGGGUUAACUCAGCCUGAAAAACAAAAAAGUUUCAGAGGAUUAUGCAGUGGAAUUUGGGUCUGCUUUCCCCAGUCUCUCAUCUAGGAUCUUCUACUGCUGAGGCAAAUGAAACAGAAGACCUACUUUUCAGCAGCUCAGUGUUGAGAGCUUAUUCUUUGCAGGUGUGAGAGCCCACAUUCCAGUCCCAUCAAUGUACGAGACAGCUGACUGAACUAUGUCUUAAAAAAAAAAAAACAAUCAUUAAAUAAACCAUUUUGAAAAUUUACCAUUGUUACAGGAAUUUGUAGAUAUUUUUAAGUAUACUGUCUGAUCUGGGAAAAAAUAGUAAAAAUUUGUUUAUGGAA